rnacentral:rRNA from 1 species
GACGAACGCUGGCGGCGUGCUUAACACAUGCAAGUCGAACGGAAAGGCCCUGCUUUUGUUGGGUUCUCGAUUGGCGAACGGGUGAGUAACACGUGAGUAACCUGCCCUUGACUUUGGGAUAACUUCACGAAACUGGGGCUAAUACCGGAUAGGAUCUCCUGCUGCAUGGUGGGGGUUGGAAAGUUUCGGCGGUUGGGGAUGGUAUCGCGGCUUAUCAGCUUGUUUGUGGGGUAGUGGCUUACCAAGUCUUUGACGGGUAGCCGGCCUGAGCGGGUGACCGGGGACAUUGGGACGGAGAUACGGCCCAGACUCCUACGGGAGGCAGCAGUGGGGAAUAUUGCAGAAUGGGCGGAAGCCAGAUGCAGCAACGCCGCGUGCGGGAUGACGGCCUUCGGGUUGUAAACCGCUUUCGCCUGUGACGAAGAGUGAGUGACGGUAAUGGGUAAAGAAGCAACGGCUAACUACGUG